rnacentral:rRNA from 1 species
UUCUAACCGUAAACGAUGACAACCAGCGAUUAAUCGGCGUUAAUAUAUGACCCGAUUAGCAGCUUCCGGGAAACCAAAGUUUUUCGUUUCCGGGGGAAGUAUGGUUGCAAAGCUGAAACUUAAAGGAAUUGACGGAAGGGCACCACCAGGAGUGGAGCCUGCGGCUUAAUUUGACUCAACACGGGAAAACUCACCCGGCCCGGACACCGUAAGGAUUGACAGACUGAGAGCUCUUUCUUAAUUCGGUGGGUGGUGGUGCAUGGCCGUUCUUAGUUGGUGGAGCGAUUUGUCUGGUUAAUUCCGAUAACGAACGAGACUCUGGCCUAUUAAAUAGACGAUAUAUUUAAAAGUAUAUCGCGCUUCUUAGAGGGACAAGCGGCGUCUAGCCGCAUGAAAUAGAGCAAUAACAGGUCUGUGAUGCCCUUAGAUGUCCGGGGCUGCACGCGCGCUACACUGAAAGAAUCAGUGUGCGUUACGCCUAGUUCGGAAGAACCGGGUAACCCAAGUAAAUUCUUUCGUGCUUGGGAUAGGGAAUUGCAAUUAUUUCCCUUAAACGAGGAAUUCCCAGUAAAUGCGGGUCAUAAGCUCGCGUUG